rfam:Serratia sp. DD3 SRDD_contig000041, whole genome shotgun sequence.
ACUACACUACGCGGCGUGAAGGGAUAAAGUAAACGAUGAUCCUUAAGGAACUCUACGCUAAAAUAGCCCUCACAUUGCAAAAUUGAUGCUGACUUGGAACCCGUUUCCGAGCCUGGUUUUUUU